GGCGUCCCUGCGGGUGAGGUGCGCGGUGGAGUCCAGCAGGAGGAGGGAGUCUGCGCCCAUGCCCCUCACACGCCGCCUGCAGAAGGGGUCGACGGCGGAGUGGAAGGAGGGAAGGAAGAAAUGGACUCAAGGGCCGGUGUGACGGAUAUGAGCACCGAGGCCGCGCGCAGCUAUAUCGUAUGCUCCCAGACUUUACCUUUAUAGCAAACCUUCGAACUAGACACAGCCGCAAGAUGGGUGACCCCGCAACCAACACCACCUCCACCACCACCACUACCACCAUCACCACCACCACCAUCACGACCACCACCAUCGCCGCCUGGUACCAACAACCACCAAUAUCGAGGGAGAAUCUACUGGUUAUUGGCAUCUACUUACUGGUUGUAGGCUUCACGUCCACCAUCGGCAACUGUCUCUUCGUGGCGGUGCUGAAGCGGAGACUCAAGGCUCUACGGGAUGGCCAGACGGUGCUGCUCCUGAACGCCGCCUGCUGUGACCUGGCUAUCUCGCUCACCGGCUACCCCUACAGCACCCUCAGUUCCUUCUACGGCGGGUGGUUCUUCGGGGAUGUCAUGUGUCAGCUGUACGGGUUCCUGUGCUUCACGCUAAACGAGGUACAGAUGAACACGCUGGUCGUAAUUGCAGUGUUUCGCUACAUUAGUGUCUGCCGACCUCAGUUCAAGUACCUGCUGACCCCCGCGCUGGCCCGCCGCUGCCUGCUGUGCGUGUGGGUGUACUGCCUGCUGUUCACCGCGCCGCCCCUGCUGGGUUGGUCCCGCUAUGUGCUCGAACCCUCGGCCGUCUCCUGCAGCACCGACUGGCACGACAGAACGCCAGCGGGGGUCGCCUACAGCAUGAGCCUGGUGGUGUUCUGCUUCCUGGUCCAAGUCUUCGCCCUGGUCGUCUGCUACACCAAGAUCUUCACCAAGUCCAAAAGCCUGUCCUUGCGGCGCCCAGACCCGGCCCUUGAAAACCACCGUGAUGAUGACCGUAGCAGCGCGCAGGGGGAGGACGCGGGGGGCUGCAAAUACUACGUCUGUCUGUGCGAGAGAAGUCUUAACAACCGAGUGGAUAAACACGUGCUAUGGGUAAACCUUCUAAUGGUGCUCAGUUUUAUCACCUUCUGGACACCUUACGCCCUCACCUCCAUCGUGUCAAUCUUCAGGGACGACCUCGGCACUUUCUGGUACGUGUUCCCCACCGUCUUCGCCAAAACCUCGUGCAUGAUGAACCCGCUGAUCUACGGCCUGAGUCACAAGCUUCUGUACCGCGAGCUGCAACUCCUCCUCCGCGCCUACUGCCUUUGCUGCGGCUGCCACCCCGGCCAGGCGGCGUCCCUCUCGGAGCUGCAGGACCUGAGGCGGCGCCAAGCGGAGGGGACGUACGACAAGGAAGGGAUCUACUUGGGCAAGGUGCGCGUGGGUGUGUGCGCAUGCAACGGCUGUGUCAUGAGCAGGAGAGAGCUGACAGUCCUGGCCCAGCUGCACAAGACCACCAACCACAAUCACAACAACCACAGCAGCAACAACAGCGGCAGCCAGCGCACUUGUUCCAUUGCGCUGGUCGAGGAGUGCCCCAACCUGCCCCCCAUGCCUGGUCUGAAUCACCACAUGGGACCAGCGAUCUCCACCCUCAAGCCCACCCCCACAGACCUCACAGCCACAGGGAACAAGGCAGCCAUCCCAUCCACUCGCACAGACACUGGUUCAACAGACACGGAGGACAGGACAGCCAUUCUUGCAUCCUUCACAGACAUUGAGAAGGCUUUGACAGACAUGGAGAAGGAGUUAACUGACAUUGAGGAAAAGACAGCCACUUCUAAGCCUUCCACAGACAUCGACAAAGGUUUUACAGACGUGGAAGAGAGGACAGACACUCCCACAGACAUUGCCACAGACAUUGAGGGAGAGACAGCCCUUCCCUCCACCAUAACAGACACAGACAUACCUUUAACAGACCUCACAGCCAGAGUUGAAAUGAUAGCAAUCCCCACAGACUCCACAGACCUCACACCCAAGACGGAAGUGAAAACAGCCAUUCUCACAGCCAUAACAGACACAGACAUAGAUUUUACAGACAUCCAAGCCACAGAAAAGGAUUUAUCAACCAUUCCCACAGCACUAACAGACACAGACAACCUCCCCACAGACCCCACAGCCACAGAGCACUGGAAUAUGAACAGACAAACACACACAGCUGACAGAAUCUACACAGCCACAGACAGCACAGACUUGGGAGACGAUAACGCAGCCCUCACAGACAAAACCCCAGGCCAUAACACAGCAGAACAGCCUCCCACAGACACAGAUGGACAAACAGAACUGCAAGAGAACAGGGAAAAUUGAUACGGUAAAUUAAAAGAAACAGACGUACAGACAGAGAGAGGGAGAGACACAGACAAGAUACAGGAAAAAUGUGAAUUCCUUAAAAGUAUUACUGAUGUUGGUAUUGUAUGAGCAGUAGUGGUGGUAGUAUUAGUGGUAGUAGCAGACAGUCCACAGCAUAACUUGUAUAUAGUUUUAAGUAUCUAGUCUUAUUUAUAAAGUUGUCAGUCUGGGCGUGGAAUUUAAACUUUAAGUGUUACCAAUAUCGGACUAAUAUGUACAUGUUUCGCCCACCCUAUGAAGCCUGCCCCGGGGGUCCCUCCAGGCAAGUCUCCAUGCAGGCCCCCUCCCAUCUUGAUUACCUCACAGCAAGAUCCAUGGACUUGCUCAAGCCAUAAACUCCGUGGGCAUGCCUUGAACUCUGUGGGCAUCCCCUCGGCCUCCUCCAUGCGGGGUUGUCUCUCACAGACACAACCCUAUGGGCAGGGUCGGCUUCUGGGCAGCGUGCCAGGUGUCCGUACAGCCGGAGUUUACGUUGGCAGACUUUGCAGGCACAAGGCCUCGAAUCAGUCUAACGGAGUAAUCACUGGUUUGACACAAAGUCAUUCCAGCGAUAUCCCAUGAUUCUGCGUUGACAUAUUUCCAAAGGCAUCAAUCUGCCUCUCCAAGUCACUGUUCAGUGUCCAUGUCUCACAGCCACAGAGUAAGACAGGGAGCACAAGGGACUUGAAGACCCGGAUCUUUGUCCUUCUGCACAGGUAUCAACAACGCCAUAUACUCGUGCUGAGCGAGUCCAUAACACCGUGGGCCAGACCAAUCCACCGUAAGGCUUCCUGGCCAGACCUGCCAUUGUUCCUAAAAUGAUACCAAGGUGUGUGAAACUUUCCAGGUUCUCAGUGUCCUCACCACACACAUGAACAGACUACUGUGUCAUCCAGCAAGCCUCCAAACACCUGUACCUUGGUCUUGGCCCAGGAGACCUUAAGUCCCAAGGGCUUCACCUCAUGCAGUGUCUUAAAGAGCCAUCACCAGCACCUCACGCUGCACUGCUCUCCAUCCUUGGCUUGGCAUGGAUGGCUGGGCAAAUUUGAGCCAGUUUUGCCCGGGCUAACCAGCCAGCCCAGGGCGGUAGAGACAGGCGUGUGUUGGCAGUGGCACCGGGCGUCUGGGCGGCAGGAUGACGAGAUAAACGUUUGGUGUGUGGCGGCGAGGCACUGAGCUGUCUGCAGGAAGGACUGGGGGUGCGUUUCCUCAGUUAGUAGCACUGUGGUGGAGAGGGGGGAUGAGGUAGACAGGAAUGAGCUGACUGAGAGCAAGCUUGGGUUAAAGGAUGGUGGAUGGGUGGUGGUAGUGGUUGUAGGAGCAGUGGUAGUAGUAAAAGUGCAGCAGGAGUAGCCAGAUAAGUACGAGUAGCCAGAUAAGUACAAAUACUAUAAGGCUGCAGUAAAAGAGGAUUCACUUGACAUAAAAGUGUUAAUAAUCUCUGCAUCAUAUCGUCACCUUGGUAAACAAACCACCUAAGUCAUUAUUUUCUACUUUACAGGAAACCAGAAAAGAACUGUCAUUAUCUCAUUUGGCUUAAGAUUUAGGCAGGAAUGAAAAGGCCAAUUCUAGAACACUCAAACCCUGAACGACGAAGGCAACUAUACAAAAAUGGGCGUCACACGAAAAACUGACGUAAACAAAAACCUGGAAAUCACUGAAAAAUGACAUAGGCGAUUAUUUAUGAGGAUGACGCUAUAUUCAAGAGACAAGAGUUCACGGCUGCAGCGAUGACAAAUGUUGUGUUAGGAAAUGCCUGGUUGGUCUUGGUGAGCCGGGGCCAAUGAUCUCAAACAUUUGGGGUUUAGUGGCGAGUGUGAACCCUGAGCCGAGACCAAACUGGCGAGCUGUCUGGUGUGGUGGUAGUUGUAAGGUGUUAUUGUUAGUGGUGAAUGGGCCCGCCAAGAUUCGUCAUUCAGGUGAUUAUAUUGAUAAGAAAAGCGUUAGUUAGAUAUGGAGUUGUGUACCCAAUAGUCAGACACAGAUAUUAAGUGCGUUAGGGUGUGGUCGCGCCUCUCCACAGCACUGCCCACUACUUCACUCUCUCAUAUGUCAGCUACUUACCAUUUUAAUUUGUGUAUUAAAUAUUCUGUAUACAUUAACCCGGUAGCAGCGACGGGCCAAAUUUGUGGUUUUACCGUGUAGCAGCGACGGGCCAAAUUUCUGCCAUGAUAUAAACCCCCCAGAAAAAGAUGAUACAUAAUCUGAUCACAAAUGCUUUGAUAUAUAUUAUGAAAUGGUUUGUGUGUGAGGUAAUUUCUCGCUUAGAGGGACCAUUAAGAAACAUGCUCCCUGCUGCUACCAGGUUAAACAAGGCUAUAAAGUGCUAUGAAUGUGUCACAGCUGCUCUGGCUUGCUCUCGUGUGCUCCACAGAUGAAAGAACUUAUUUACAAAGUGAUGGAAAAGUUGGAAAGUUUUGUUUAGUCGCCGCAAUGUCUGUGGUCAUAUGCCGAAGAGAGACAGAAGGGGGAAGGAAUUAUAGGAGAAGGAAACGGAUCCCAGGAGACAGGACACGACCCCCGAUUAAUACCUGGUACCCAUUCACUGCUGGGUGGACAGGGGCGUAGGGUAUCGGAAAACAAAGUGACGGAGGUGACGAUUGUCCUCAUUCCAUUACAGUCGUCCCUCAAAUAGUACAGUUUCGGUUUUAUACGGGUUGUCAUAGAUCAUUUUAGGAUUUUUAAAUUUCAUGCUCGUCGAGAAAUUCAAAAAUCCUAAAAUAAUCUAUGAAAAUCCACAUAAAACCAAAACCGAACUAUUGGAAACCAUACUACUUGAGGGACGACUGUAAUUAAGACUAGGUUUGGCAGCGCUGUGGCCGGUGGGUUCUCUGAGUAGGCCCCACCCAACCGAACUUCAUGGCCGAGUCUGUCUAUAGCAUCUUGUAGCCAGUGUGUCUGUCCAUAGCUUGGGUUUGCUAGGUUAACUGUGUGUCUGUAUUCCCUAAACUCUGAGGGUCAUAUUGCAAGACAUUUCGCUGCCCAAAGAACACAUAUUUGACAAGGCUUUCGUAGGAGUUGUGGGCAUUUCCAGUAGUAGUUUUAUGACCCUGGUGGUAGUGUGACCCUUCUUCUGUACCGUGAACCUAAGAAACAUACAUUUGACAAGGCUUUCAUAGGAGUUGUGGGCAUUUCCAGUAGUAGUUUUAUGACCCUGGUGGUAGUGUGACCCUUCUGCUGUACCAUGAACCCAAGAAACAUACAUUUGACAAGGCUUUCGUAGGAGUUGUGGGCAUUUCCAGUAGUAGUUUUAUGACCCUGGUGGUAGUGUGACCCUUCUGCUGUACCAUGACCCUAAAGAAACACUCAUUAGAACCUGACUGACCCCCUCUUUGGCCUUUAAAAAUAGCUCAUGUGAGAAGCGAAAAUGUCUUAUAAUGCCGACCUGAGUGUUUCAAUGGGAAGUGUUCUAACCCACGCAUAAGAUCACUCAUCAUCAUCCAUAGAGCAGGACCCUUUCGAGUCAUUUUUCUAGCCUGGUCGCUUAUUAAAAAAUAUAGCCAUUUCAUUUUGCCAUUGACUGAUACCAAAAACAUUUCUAUAGCCCCAGAAAUAAGGGAGUUAUGGCAAUUCGCACCAAAGCGGUUGAUUUUCCAAAAUUCACGGCUUAAUGACAAGGGUGGCGCAAAAUCAUACAUUUGACAAGGCUUUCGUAGGAGUUGUGGGCAUUUCCAGUAGUAGCUUUAUGACCCUGGUGGUAGUGUGACCCUUCUACUGUACCAUGACCCUAAAGAAACACUCAUUAGAACCUGACUGACCCCGACUUUGGCCUUUAAAAAUAGCUCAUGUCCAUUACCUGAGAUGUCACUGGUCCUAACCAUUGCACAUUCCCUGUUUUCUGUCACUCUUUCUCCACCUGUUUCCCUUUCUCUCUCCCACAUUACCGUUUCCCAGUCUGAGCCUCUGUCCUGUUCCCUUUCCUACAUACAUGUCCUGACCAUUGCCAUUUCCUUAUUCUACUUGUCUUAAUCAUGUCCACUUCUAUCUGUUCUCUCAUUCAUUGGUAACACACAUCACCAUACUAACUAGAAUUCCUGUAGUUUAGAUGUUAGUAUAAGGAUGUAAAUAAGGAUGAGUUAUGAUAUACUGACAAAUUUGCUUCAUAAGGCUGCCUGUGAUUAGGUUAUUGGUCCUGUGUGCUGGGAAGGGGAAGGGGAAGGGGAGGUUGUCAAGUGAGUGGUACAGUUGGCAGGGAAGGGGAGGUUAUCAAGGUUGUCAGGUCAGUGGUACAGUUGGCAGGGAAGGGGAGGUUAUCAAGGUUGUCAGGUCAGUGGUACAGUUGGCAGGGAAGGGGAGGUUAUCAAGGUUGUCAAGUGAGUGGUACAGUUGGCAGGGAAGGGGAGGUUAUCAAGGUUGUCAAGUGAGUGGUACAGUUGGCAGGGAAGGGGAGGUUAUCAAGGUUGUCAAGUGAGUGGUACAGUUGGCAGGGAAGGGGAGGUUAUCAAGGUUGUCAAGUCAGUGGUACAGUUGGCAGGGAAGGGGAGGUUAUCAAGGUUGUCAAGUGAGUGGUACAGUUGGCAGGGAAGGGGAGGUUAUCAAGGUUGUCAGGUCAGUGGUACAGUUGGCAGGGAAGGGGAGGUUAUCAAGGUUGUCAAGUCAGUGGUACAGUUGGCAGGGAAGGGGAGGUUAUCAAGGUUGUCAGGUCAGUGGUACAGUUGGCAGGGAAGGGGAGGUUAUCAAGGUUGUCAAGUCAGUGGUACAGUUGGCAGGGAAGGGGAGGUUAUCAAGGUUGUCAAGUCAGUGGUACAGUUGGCCACAGACUUCCACGUCACAAGUAGAAGAAAACAACAAGACACGCUCAAUUUCAACCCAAUAAACCAACUGUAGAAAUGAAGACUGUGCUCCCUUCUAGUUAGUCAAUGCCUGGGGCUGGAUUCACAAGACCAGAUAUGAGACCUGUCCUUGGUAAGUCUUCUGGUAACUUCGUCAACUACAAACGCUCUUGAUAAUUAGGCAACUCAAAUGGCGAUGGAUUGAUUCAUCGCCAUCGGACCGUUUGUUGUGGACAGACUUAUCAGGAGACUUGGUUGGUAAGUGGUCUGACGAAUCCGGUCCUGGUGAAUGAGACCCACCAGCCAGUGUUUCCAGUGGUGCCGCCUCUGAAGCAGCCCUAUCAGGUGUUAGCAGUGACCUUUGCCAGCCAGGGCAUGCGUCAGGCUGGGUGUGGUCCUUGCCCAACACUGACAGGGUAGUGUGACAGAGGCCAGGCCGUGCACACUCCCAGUAUCCAGGAGCACUCAUAAUAUAAGGAGUCUGCAAGAGGCCAGUAGCCAUAAACAUGGCAGCUCCUGGAGGAUGUCUGUGCCAGCUCCCACCACUGGUGUUACCCAGUGCACUGAGUCAAGGGUAACCUAACAAUGCCCCUAAAACACAUUGCCUGUACUUGAAUACACCACAUGCCAUCACGGCCAUGACAAAGAGUGUCCUGCCUGUCCUGUGAUGCCCAAGUCAAGCUGGCAGCCAUCCGUGGACACCUGGGCUGCCCACUAAUGCUGUGUGUGGGACACUUCACCAAUGCGUGAUGCCACAAAUGUCCAAAGCAGACUGAGCCCCCUGCACUGUGUAACAUGGUGGUGGUGGUGGUGUAAGCCCCUUCCCCAGGACACAGGGUGACAGUGACAUCAGAGUCGGUAGUGUCCCCCUUCCCUGAUAGUCCCUGGCACCAGCAAUGCCCCACCACACAGAGGAGUGAGGACAGCAGGGCCAGCAGUGCACAGACUGCCAAGCUCCAGUUAUAACUGAGGCACACAGACUGGUGAUGUGCUCUGACCACUGAGCCACAGACACCCUCCACCCGUGUGCCUGGAGGAGGGUUCCCUGGUCAGGGGUUGAGGCUGCAGGGCUGCAGGUUGUAUCGGCACAGGCAAGCCCCUGGCUGGCCUCACCUCCCACUGGCUCUGGACACAGCCCUCACAGUAUCUCUGUACUGGGUUAAGACACGGCUCCAGUGCCUCCCUCAGCCACAACUGCCCAGUGUCCAGCUGGCCAAGGACUCACACUUUGUGGUUGUUGUGGUGAGCUGCAGCAC